GAAUUGACGGGGGCCCGCACAAGCGGAGGAACAUGUGGUUUAAUUCGAUGAUACGCGAGGAACCUUACCCGGGCUUGAAUUGCUGAGGAAAGCUCCAGAGAUGGAGAUGCCCUUCGGGGCCUCAGUGAAGGUGCUGCAUGGUUGUCGUCAGCUCGUGCCGUGAGGUGUCGGCUUAAGUGCCAUAACGAGCGCAACCCCUCUCUUCAGUUGCCAUCAGGUCAAGCUGGGCACUCUGGAGACACUGCCACCGUAAGAUGUGAGGAAGGUGGGGAUGACGUCAAAUCAGCACGGCCCUUACGUCCGGGGCUACACACGUGUUACAAUGGGUGGUACAGAAAGCCGGCUGCCCGCAAGGUCAGUCCAAUCAAGAAAGCCUCCCUCAGUUCGGACUGGGGUCUGCAACCCGACCCCACGAAGCUGGAUUCGCUAGUAAUCGCGCAUCAGCCAUGGCGCGGUGAAUACGUUCCCGGGCCUUGUACACACCG
rnacentral:rRNA from 1 species